UACGUAGGUGGCAAGCGUUGUCCGGAAUUAUUGGGCGUAAAGCGCGCGUAGGCGGCCCUGUAAGUCCGUUGUGAAAGUCAAAGGCUCAACCUUUGAAAGCCGAUGGAUACUGCAGGGCUGGAGUCCGGAAGAGGCGAGUGGAAUUCCUGGUGUAGCGGUGGAAUGCGCAGAUAUCAGGAGGAACACCAAUAGCGAAGGCAGCUCGCUGGGACGGUACUGACGCUGAGGCGCGAAAGCGUGGGGAGCGAACAGG
rnacentral:rRNA from 1 species